rnacentral:rRNA from 1 species
GAUGAACGCUAGCGGCGGGCUUAAUACAUGCAAGUCGUGGGGCAGCAUGAAGUAGCAAUACUUUGAUGGCGACCGGCAAACGGGUGCGGAACACGUACACAACCUUCCUUUUAGUGGGGAAUAGCCCAGAGAAAUUUGGAUUAAUACCCCGUAACAUAGCGAUGUGGCAUCACAUUGCUAUUAUAGCUUCGGCGCUAGAUGAUGGGUGUGCGUAUGAUUAGAUAGUUGGCGAGGUAACGGCUCACCAAGUCUACGAUCAUUAGCUGAUGUGAGAGCAUGAUCAGCCACACGGGCACUGAGACACGGGCCCGACUCCUACGGGAGGCAGCAGUAAGGAAUAUUGGUCAAUGGACGAAAGUCUGAACCAGCCAUGCCGCGUGAAGGAUUAAGGUCCUCUGGAUUGUAAACUUCUUUUAUAUGGGACGAAAAAAGGUCUUUCUAGAUUACUUGACGGUACCUUAUGAAUAAGCACCGGCUAACUCCGUGCCAGCAGCCGCCGUAACAC